GGCGAGAGAAAAGUCGAUAGGGAUCAGUCGAGCGAGUAUCUCCGACACGUCGUAUGUAAGGGCAAAGAAAAGGCGAAAGAAAUCAGUCGAGUGAAUAUUUCUGAUAUACAAGAGCUAAAGUGUACCAUGUGUCACCAACUGCAUUCUUCGUCGCGCUACCAGUUUCAAUCAUGGUAAACUGUGCUGUUGUUGGGUGUUGUAUCGUUGAUAGCUGGGUCGACCACUGGUGUACCGAUGAUUCUUGGGUGUGGCGGAUACCAAAGCACUUCACUGCCGCCUUACUACACAACAUACAACACAACCGGUUGCUACACCAAUGCCUUAAAUACUACUCCACCAAGGAACCAGAGUGUUACACAACUACAAAUGCCGCUCCAGCUUAUUACACCGAGGCUCCCUAACACAACACCACCAAGGCAUCGGAGUACUACACCACUACAUAUCAUGGGAAAGUAUUUUGUUAUGUGGAGUUUUAAUAUGCUAACUACUAAAUACACAAAUUAUUUAUUGUCUAGUAUGAAAGGAGAGAAAAGGUGAAAGAAUUCAGCAGCCGAGUGAGCAUCUCCGUUACGGCAUUAGGAAUUGCCGUGCACUGUUUGUCAACAACUUCAUUCUUCGUCGCAUUCCGAGUUUUAAAUAAAGGUUAAUCCAUGGUGUACCGAUAUCUCCAGCGUAUGGUGUGUACCAACAACAACAUACGCAACAACCUGUUACUACACUGAGGCCUGCAAGUGCCACACCACCGAGGAUCGACUUGUUACUCCACCGAAGCACCCAAGUACUGCACUACAACCUACGUCGCCCCAGCUUACACCACGAAGGGAGCGGAGUACUACACCACGAAGGGAGCGGAGUACUACACCACGAAGGGAGCGGAGUACUACACCACGAAGGGAGCGGAGUACUACACCACGAAGGGAGCGGAGUACUACACCACGAAGGGAGCGGAGUACUACACCACGAAGGGAGCGGAGUACUACACCACGAAGGGAGCGGAGUACUACACCACGAAGGGAGCGGAGUACUACACCACGAAGGGAGCGGAGUACUACACCACGAAGGGAGCGGAGUACUACACCACGAAGGCAGCGGAGUACUACACCACAUCCUACGCUGUUCCAAAGGCCCCGAGCUCGAGCUCUAUCACCAUUCACCAAGUCACCGGAGUAUUACACAACUACGUAUGCAGCGCCAGCUUACUACACCGUCGUAUAAAAGGAGAGAGAAGAGUCAAAUGAAAUCAGUCGAUGGAGCAUCUCCGACACGGUAACAUCUGUAGUGAAUUUGUCACAACCUGCAUUUUUCGUCAGUUAUGGGUUAUGGUUAUGGUCGUAUUGAAAGGAGACAACAGGUGAUCAUCUCCGACAUGGCAAUAACUGCGGUGCACUAUUCGUUACCAACUGCAUUCUUCGUCGUACCACCAGUUUGCUUUCAUGGUUACAAUCGAAAAAAUUCGUUGUUCACGCUUGUAGUUCACAAGAAACGUUUCGUACAACUGGCAUGCGGUGGUGUAGAGGUUAGGUGAGAACCGGACGUUUUGCAUCAUUAUCAAAAAGUAAAAUAUCGUGCUGCUGCUGCUAUCGUCGUCGUGCUGAUGUUGGGUGUCGUAUUGGCUCGGUCAACCACUGGUGUACUGAUGUCUUUUGGGUAUGGUGGUUAUGAAAUCGCAACGCCGCACGUUACUACACCGAGACCCCCAAGUACUUCACCACCAAGUCUCCAGAUUAUUACACCACAACUUCGCUGCCCGAGCUACUACACCAAAUCCCCGAAGUACUAUUCUUCCCCGAGGUACGCCAUUAAAGGGUCGAGUACUACACCGAGGCCCCUAUUUACUACACCACUACAUAUCAUGUCGGAGGAAGACGAUGGAGAGAAGGUAUUGUCUAGUCGAGGUAGAAGGAGAGAAGGCGAUAGAUAUCAGUCGAAUGGUUAUCACCGGCAUGGCAACAACUAUAGUGCAGUAGUCGUCAUUAACUGCGUUCUUCGUCGUACCACCAGUUUUGCAAUCAUUGAUGGCUGGAUUGACAGCUGGUGUGCCGAUGUCUCCUGGGUAUGGCGGGUAUCAAACCACGACGCCGCCGUCUUACUAUGGAACAUCAACAUACGACACGACCAGUUAUUACACCGAGGCCCCCAAGUACUACACCACCGAGGAACCAUAGUGUUACACAACUACAAAUGCCGCGCCAGCUUAUUACACCGAGAUCCCAAGUACUACUCUGCUCCCAGCUACUACACCGAGGUUCCAGCUUAUUACACCACUAAAACAGUCGAAUACUACAUUAAAGUAAUCAUUGUUAUCUAUGGCGUGCUGCUGUUGGGUGUUUAAUCGUUGAUGGCUGGAUUGACAGCUGGUGUGCCGAUGUCUCCUGGGUAUGGCGGGUAUCAAACCAUAACGCCGGCGUCUGACUGCACGCCAACAUACGGAACGACCAGUUACUACACUGAGGCCUCCAUGUACUACACCACCAAUGUUCCAGAUUGUUAUACAAAAACAUAAGCUUUCUCGAGUUACUACGCAGAAGCCCCGAAGUAUUAUUCUACCCCGAGCUCUAUCACCAAGUCACCGGAGUAUUACACAACUACGUAUGCAGCGCCAGCUUACUACACCGAGGCUACCAAAUACUACUCUGCUCUUAACUACUGCACCGAGGCUCUAGCUUAUCACACCACCAACGGUCGAAAUCUACACAGAAGUGCCAAAGUACUACUCUGUCCCGAGCUACACAUUUCUAACUGAGGCGGCCAAGUAUUACGUUUCCUUAAUUAACCAACCGCUGCCCCUUCGUAUUAUGCUGAACCGAAAUACUACACUGAAGCCCCAGUUUACUACACCACAACCUACGCUACACUCUGCUACUACACCGAAGCUCUGAAGUAGUACACUACGAAGGGACCUGAGUUCUAUGCCACUAAAUACGAUGCUCCGACCUGCUACACCGAAGCUCUUAAGUAUUACUCUGUUCCAAGUUAUUACACCACUAUGUGAUCUGAAUGUUACACCACGACCUACGCUUCUCCAGAUAACUCCAAAGAGGCUUCUAAAUACUAGAUCUGAAAUUGUUUUUCAUGUGUUUUCACUGAGAAUUCCUGUUGGUGUUGAAUGAGAAAAUAAAUUUUUAUGCGGGUAAA
rnacentral:misc_RNA from 1 species